AUGGUGGGCGCGGGUCGAGAGCGCUCCGGGGCUCCUACCUCGGCGCGUGGUGGGAGGGGUAGUUCCAUUCCCCCCCAUAGCCUCUGGAGAGCGCUAGAUCUCAGUUUGCAGAGUCCAGCGACGGUCGCUUCUUCUUCGGCCGGGAGAGGUCGAGGGGGUAAGAAGAAGGAGAAGGCUGCUAGAGGUGGACGUGGCGUCGGGAGAGGUAGGAAGGCUGCUACGCCUUCCUCGCCGCCACCCCCAGCUGAGUCACCCGACCACAGGGCUGCUCCGUCUGAGAUCGAGCCAUCUGAGGUGGACCCGUCUAUGGCAGACGCGCCUACGGCCGACGAGCCUCGGGCCGACGACGAGCCUCGGGCCGCCGAGCCUCGGGCUGCCGAGUCUUCGCCCCACGAGACUCCGGAGCUCAGAUGGGGUCACGUUGAGUCGGAGCCGAGCCCAUGGGAGGACUGGACGGAGUCGAGUGCACAUGGUUGUGUUCAGGGUGGACACUAUAGUCCUGAUAGCUAUAGCGAGGGUGAGUGGGUUGAGGGGCGCAAAGUCUACCAGCGUGGUUGUACAAAGCUCCCGCCCACCCCGGCGACCCCCGACCAGAGGUGGUUGAUUGCGCCUAACGGGGAGAAUUCUUGGACACACGAAGAUUGUGUCCGCAGGCCCAACACUGUCCUUGGUGUGAUUUGUCGCCAGUGCUUCCCGGGGUGGGUCAUGUUGCCCGGUGAGGGCCGGGUUCCAGAGCUAGGAAUGACCUGGGAGCACUACUUGACUGCCCCGGCCCCGCCGGAGCAUAGGGUCGGCGAUGUCGAGUGCGACACGGUGGCCGACAUUGUGAUCGCCACGUUUUGGACCUUCUAUAGGUGUGCUGAGGGACAGGAGGAGGCCGCGGCUCGGGUUAUCGACUCCGAGUGCAGGCGCCUACUUGGAAACUUUCGGCACGAGGCUCGGACGCAGGCUGUUCGAGACUACUUAGCACAGACUGGUAUUAGGAGGAGAAAAGAGAAGUGCCGGGACAAGUAUCUGAGUAAGGAGAAGUACAUGAAGGUGCCUCCGAGAUGGUGUGCGGACAAGAUGGACUGCUGGGAGGUGUGUGUCCCAAGUGUUUUGCUUAAUAGAGUUUUGUUGUGA
rnacentral:rRNA from 1 species